GCCAGUUGCAAGAAGAGAGUCAAUGUGAACAGAUCGCAGAAACGAGGCAGAGAGCGUCAGAGUGAUCGUGAGGCCUCCCUCGUCCAGUUUGAGUCGGAAAAGAUUGGAAAAGAGUCAGUGAGUGUCAAAGAUCUAGUGAAAACCGUGCAAAUUUGGAAAUAUUUUAGAAAGUUAGCUUGUUGGUAGGCUGGUAAACUGUUUUUAAUGCAUCUCAAGAAUUCCCGUCAGCGGAAAAAUCUUGACUCGAUUAGUGUAGUUUUGAAAUCUCAUCAAUUGAUGCAAAAGACAGCAAAUGUAGAAAUUCAAAUCGUGUUACAAAUGAAUGUGAUUGUCGAGAAGAAGAUAAAAUAGUACUAUCUACGUAAUUUGAUGUUCAAAUUGAAGCAAAAUUGGAAAAUCCAGUCUGAGCGAGUGCGAUAGCUCGAAACGUAGAAAGGCAAACGCCAAUCUGAUCUUAUUGAUUCAGUGUGCAUUUCUUUGCUCGCAUUUGUUAAAAGAGCGCGACAACGGCCCCUCACUACUACACACGCACUUGCUACGAGUUUUGGAAGUGUUUCCUACAGAUUUUGCAUCACGUAAAGUUGUGCUGUGGAAACAGUUGACGAACCUGCGGAGAAGAACGUCUAGUGAAACCCCAAACUGUUGACGCACACAAUCUCGCGCGGAACGCACACAUGUUCAUAUACGUCGAUGUGAGCGCAGUGUGCUAGCAAGAGAACAAAGAAACGGACAUUUUGCGUCACAAUAACAGGGAAAGCGAGUGUGUUCUUGGAUAGCUGCAGUGCUCAAGGGAGGUAUUUACCAAUUCCAUACAAUUUCUGUGAUAUGGUUUCCUGCAUUCGUGCUUGGGGAACCUCUGGAAAGUAUUUGUGAAAAGUUGAAUAUCCAUCCCUCAAGUUGAAAGUGAAAGGUAGUCAGAAGAAAGACACUGAAUGAAAGAUCUAGUGGUGUUUGCUUGAAGGAGCAAAAUUGAAGAAGCAGUCGAAAAAUAGUGGUGAAACACUUCAAGGCAAACAACGAAUCUGAAGUGUGCAAAUCGAAACGUGAAGCAAAGUGGAACGUUAAACCACGUAUGAAUUCGUGUAUCUGCACUCGGUUAUGUUGUGUAUCCAGCAUUUUCUUUUAGUAACGAGAUAUUUUUAUAAUAAAACAAUAUCAAAACACGAAAAAUUUCACUAAAAGAAAACAGUAAUCAUAAACUGAAGCAGUAUAAUUGAAGAUACAAAGUAAAUAUAGUUUAUAUUUAACAAUUUAAUGAUAAAGUGUGAUAAUAGUUUUAAAACAAUUCGUACCCGUAAAACAUUGACUAAAACGUCACGGUGAGUUUUCAAAGCUGAAAAAAGAAGAAACGGGAGAAAAGUGAAAGUCCAAGAUGACAAACUCGCACAACCGGAAUGGUAGAAACGGCAGUUAUGCUGAGCGGUUCUUCAAUAAUCACAGUCCACAGCAGCUUAGUGGUAGCGGUGGUAAGCGAAACAACGCUACUAACAAUAAUGGAGGCAAUGGAGGCCGGGGACAAAAAUCUCCGAGUUCAACCUACUUCAGGAGUAUUUCGACUUCGAAUGCAAUCCCGAUAGUACAACAAUCCACGUCACCCGUUAGUAGUAAAAGUGGUACCUACUACAACUCCACUUCGCCCGGUGGACGGCAUCAUAGCUUUAACGGUCAGCGAUCGAGUCCAGGUGGUAAUGGCCCUUUCAAUAAUUCGACCGGAUCGUAUCCCGGUUCAUUGUCUGGAUCCCCACCAAACUUCUCCCAUUUUGCUGGCAGCAAAUGUUACGAUGCUCCAGCACCCACCGCUUUGCCAAAACCACCUGUACACUGGACGUCGCCUGCUUCAUCUAACGUCACGAUAUCAUCAGCUUUAAACACCUCUAAAUUAUCCACCAACAAGACAACCUCAGCAUCCGUCAUCAAUGCUAGGAAUUCCUGUAAUAGUAAGGCCCCCUCAUCGGUAGUUUCGUCAACUAUGACAACCACGUCUAGGUCCAAGGUAAAGUCCGCUGUGAAACCAGCAAUGUCCUGUGCUGCGGCUGCGGCCAAAGCCAAUCGUAGGGUUGAUUUCACGCACAACCUCAAAACGGCACUCAAUGUGCAAGCCUAACCUAAACGUUCAUGCAAGGAUGAAUCUACCGUUCCACUUUGUUCAGUGCUGCCAAGAUCACACCAACCGGAUCCAUGUACCAAAUUAACUGCGUAAAACUUUCGACCAAACGAUUUCCACCAGUCUGAGUAUUUUUGCUUUUUCGAACCACUAUCUCCCCAUAAAUAUCAACCACAAAUACACAUUUUCACUAAGGUCGCAAGCAGCUACUUGAACCAAUAGGAUGGCUACAGUGAGUUAAAUUUACGAACUAAACUCUGAUUAUCAACUCUAGUUUGUAGAUAUACAUAUACAUAUAUAUCCUUUUUUAAUGUUUUAUUUUAAUUUGAUGCGUGACAUUUUCUGGUCAAUUCAUCGGCCAUUGCAAAUUAGUAUCUUAAAUUUAUUAUUUUUGUGAGCCUAUUUUCCGGCAUUGCAGUGAUCGCACCGCGGGGAUCGAUUGGCAAACAACAGAUAUCCAUCCAUUCCAUUUGUGAACAAAAGUAUUUUUUCAAUACAUUCAAAAUAGAAGCAUUCGAUUCGUCGAUCUAAAUUGAACAAAAGUAAGAACUACAAAUUAUAUCAUCACAUUUUCUCAAGCUUAUUUAGUACCAGGAUAGCACCCGAUCCCAAUCCUGAGUCGAUCGAUGGAAUGUCGCAAAAUGUGGCAGAGAAUUGUUACUUUUGCAUUAUUCAUAUAGUCAUUUUCAUUGUUUUCAAUUAAAUAUAUGUGUACGAACUCUCACUGAAGAUAUGAGGCAAUAUUUGAUUGAGGUUCGUUUCUUAAAGAGGCGAUGACUAAUUAAACCACAAAACCGCUAGAAUGUAUGAUAUCUCAAAGACCAAAAACACGCUGCCGAUACUAUCGGAAAGAACUAUUUUUUCAAAGUAAAAUUCAGGCACUUGUGUAAUUUUGCAACGAACCAUUAAAUCACUAUUCGAACCAUCAAAUUUGUUAAAUUCCAUAAAAAAAACCAGGUGAUGAAAUUGAAAAUUCCACAUACGGUUCAUUGUAAUACCGUUUGUUGAAUUUUAAAAGCCAUCGCGGUCAAAAGUAAUUUCGCAAUUGAACUAUGAACAAUCAGACACUCAUACAUUUGUCAUUUUCAAAUUACACAAUGUGCUUGAGUUUUCAAUGAUAGAUGAAGCAUGCGUGAAUUUGUAAACUGCGCAGUUUACUUUGACGCUACGGAGCGAAAGAUUCACGGAGAAAAUAUAACAAUACAGUACAAAAUCGAACUAUUAAAUGUAUGUUUUACAAUAAUAACCAGCAAAGCAAAUCAAACAUUGACGAAAGAAAAAUGGAGACAAACAACAUGAAGAAGAAAAUAAGCGUCAAAGAUAGAAACAACACACCAAUAUGAGACAAGUGCUAGGUAAAGGGUUAUCAAGCAGAGAUGCACUAAACGAUGAUUAGCAAAAACUGAGAACUGACGAAAGGGUGAUCAAGUGUGUGUGACAAUAUAUAAACAAAACGAGAAUCGAAAGACUUAUCACUACUGAUAACAAAUCAACUUCAAAACAUUUAAUGCUUACGAUGAGGGUUAGUCGAAAGUUCGUCGACGUUCGUGCUGAAGUGGGCGAAGCUUUCCCGUUUACUCGACCGAUGGACUCCGAAUAGCAGGAGAGAUAUGUUGAGGGGCUACACACUACACUAAAUGUGAGACAUCGGGCCAUCUCUCAGGGGGCGGAGUUUAGUAACUUUGCCAACAGUGAUAAUUUUCCAUUUUUACUUUCACUUUAGUCCUGAUUAUCCUAGUUUUUAUGUUUAUCGAAUCUUGAUUGAUUUUGUCCUCUUGUGGAGGGAUAAUUCUCUUGUAAAUAGCACAGUUUUAAAAUCCGUAAUAAUGGUAGAAGAGAGUGUGCCUUCUAGUAAUUUUUAUAAACGGAGAGUAGACGAAACCCUUCAUCAAGCGAAAAUAAUUAAGAUUUGUGAAUGACGAGACAACUCCGCCCUUGAAUUUUAAGAGGACUAUCAAUUUGUACUCAUGGAUUGAAUUCCGCACAACUGUAGUCAAAGACGCCGCAAAAAUUGGAACAUUUACAUUUCUAUGGCUUCGCGAAGAAAGCCUGCAAAGGCCAAAACGCAAUAAUAGCGGACAUAUAACGGUAGCGAUAGCGGUUCAGACGGCUUUACUUAUCACAGUUAACCUAUCGGGUUAAUGUAGGAUUGAAUUCAUUCAUUCUUGAUCCAGCAACCAUAAGGAAAUUCGUGUCGAAACAACCGCUAUUGCUACUGUUUGGUAUCCACCGAGACUAUGUGUGAACCUCUGCGCUUUUCUUAAGCAAACGUGGAGUGCAAUGGCUUGGUGGUCUUCUUUUUACAAAGAUGAGAAUCUAGUUCUAAAGAAUGAAGUGUCUCCUUUGACCUAUGAUUGAUAGCAAUAUGUACUGUGUUUGUAAGGAGUAUCAUCGUGAGAUGUUGCAACUGUGCGUUGUCUUUGCUACAUUUGUUCCAGAAUAACAAUCAGUUACAGAAACGUUGAUGGCACAGAUUACAUUGAAUCGCUUUGUUUUACUGGUGAACGAUUUCUGCAAUUUUAUAAUUUUACUUUAGGCCAAAAAUCCUACAAAUUGUCUGUUUUAUUACUUCCCAAAAAUAAAACAUGUUGUUUAGCCCAGUGCAAUAAACGCUAUUCGGAAAAAAAUAUUUGUAAAGUUGCUGAUCUCAGCGUAACAAGAAAAACUAUCCAAAAGAAAUGGUAAAUCUUUCAUUUUCAAUCAGAACAAAUCCAAAUCAUAGACAUAUUUAAAAAAAACAGUGACAACGCUCUAUUUGUGACAACAACUAAAAGAUAAUAUUUGCAAUCUAGACUUUACGUUUAUCUUUAUAAAUUAGUAUUUUCAAUCAGAUUUUUACUACACAACUGCAAAUAUUUGUUUGAUCUCAAGUCUCCUAAUUAUUAUUUUUACUUAAAUAAAUUUUCAUUAACUAUAGGUGUUGCAUUGAUGCUCAGCCUGACAAUGCUGAUAGAAUAUUUACGCAUCUAUGGAUGGAAUUUGAGAUACAACUGCAUUGCAUUAGUUCAGGUCUGUUAUAAAUCAAUGAGCACUUGUAAUUUUAUAAGCUGAAGAAAACCUAUCUCGUCCAUCAUAUUUUUUAUAUUGCUUCUUAGCUUUUAAAGUUUGGGUCACAAAAGCGUCAAAAUUAUUGCAGAAUAGAAAAUUUUCACUGAGUAAAUGAAGUAAAUAUUGUAUAGAACUUAGCAGUGUAACAAAAUUCAAACAUAAUCACGGAAAAUACCAGACUUUGAACAGGUAAAAACUACAGGAUAGUAACUCUCUCACACACUUGCAACAGUACUAUUCGCCCCUUUUCAAAACGACAGAAAAAAAUAGUGACAUACCAAAUUCAGUACAUUUUGAUCCAUUGAAUAAUUAGGAAAAUUGUAAACUGAUCGUUUCGUUUGGCAGACAUCUAAUGUUGAGUGUUUACUCGUUUAUCUACGGGACAAAAACUAAACAAAUUAUCGAUACGAAGUAUCGUAACCUUAAGUUCUCGGUCAUAAACUACACCACAGCAAAACAAGCAUAUUUAUUUAGACACGUAUGAUGCCAAAAAAUAAUACGUUUAGUUUUUUUAGUUGGUUUUUUUGUUCUAUGCAUGACUUUGGCUGCAGAACACAUCAAACAAGGUAGCUUACCUAAAACAACGUCGCCUGUUGAAGUUUUUCUACCAAACAAAAUAGGGGUGGUGAUUGAAGACAGAGGGAAGUCCAUCUUUUCUUUUUCUUUUAGGACUUUUUCAUGUAUCUUUCUAUUGUAUCUGUUCAAUAAAGAUGGAACAAGAAAUUAUUUCGGGUCAGCAAAAUAUAGGUAACACAUUUUAAGAACCGACAACUUCAAACAACACAAGCGACAAAUGCGACAAAUGCUUUGACGCAGACCGCAAGCAAAGGCAGAAUGCUGUAUAUAUUAAAACAUAAAAACUCAACUUUGUUCAAAGGUUGAAGGUCCUGUUUUUAAAAAUAUUCAUUUUUUUGCCCUUGUAUGCGAUUUGUUUGAAAUAUUUGUCGUUGCUCAGCAAUAUUUAGCAUGGUACAGAGUGUACACAAGUUGUCAAUAUCUUAUAUCUAUAUGUUAUCUUUUCCAAAGCUUUGUUCGAGUACUCGUUUACUUGGCCUUAGAAACUUUUCCGAAAAAAUAGGUUACGCGGAAAACUGCAACUGCACAGUAAACAGUAAUUCGGGCACAAACUUAUUUGAUACCAGUGAAACUGAUUCCGAGUUUAAUUUCUUGUUGCAUCUGCUCAUAUUUUAUUUCAUUCUUGUCUUAUUUUUUAACGAAGAAACUAUAAAAAUAACAAAAAAAAACAAAAUCAUCAUCGUGUCUGAAUAAAUAUAAUUUUGCAGAUAAACUCAAAUUAUUCGUAUAAUAGUUUAGAAACACACAAUCACAAUGUUGAUCACACGAUAUGAACCCAUGAAUAUAAACCAGCAACGCAGAUAGUAACACUCGUAACGUGUUCUAACGGAAGUACACGAUUUCCAUUGAAUCAUGAGAGGAAAAGAAUAAACGAAAAAUGAGACACUAUUAAUCUGCGAUACGGGAAUACAGCCGACACUGCUAAAAUAUUUUUUUUUAUUUUGAACAGAAUUACACUUUAAUAGUAAGCUGUAUGAUAAAAAAGAAAACAAUGUAAAAUGAACCGUAUAGAAAGAAGAACGAUCCAGCAGAUAGACAGGUGAAGUGGAAGAAGAAGAAGAAAUGAAACCGUUAAUGACGAAGGUACCACAAAUUGUUGUGGGUCAUUCGUAAUCUACGCAACUAGAAUGAGAAAGUCAUGUAAACUCACACGCACAUACGAGAUAUCGCAUUUCAAUUAUUUUUUUCUGUAUAUUACAGAAACGUUAAAGGGUCUCCAACAAAGCGACUAGAAUUGUGGAGCAUUUAAAGUGAACCGGAAUUUAGUAGACAUGAAAAGUGUGCUGCGCGUGAGUGUUGCUUUGCUUUACUGAGUGAAGUCUAAAGGCGAAAGGAAGAGCAAAUACAUUGAAAAAUGAGAUUGUAAUGAUAAACGAAAGAGAAAACUUUUAGAAUCAUAAGCGUAAUAAAUAUUAGUAUAUUAACUAUAGAAACGAGACAAAAAGGUAGAAAUGUUCGUAAUUGUUCUGUGAUCCCUAUUCAUUUAAUGUUACUGCUUUUUUCAAGAGGCAAACAUGUAAUGAGACGGAAUUUUUUAAAUUGUUGGAUGGAUUCACAAAAGAGAAAUAGGAAAUCGCUAGUAGUGGUAAAAAAGCAGUAACGAUUAAACUGUGCUUGGUGAGUUUUUAAAUUGACCAAUCACAUCUACGAUUAAUCUGUACUAGACUUUUGUAAACGAACAAGUAAGUAAAAUUUGAACCAAUUCCUCACAAAAAGAGACAAAAUUGCCAUGUACUGUAUCAACAAUCAUAAACUACUGUAGUCCUGAUAUAUCUCAAAGCUUCCUAUAAAAUGUCCCAUUUGGCAAACAAUUUCACAUUGAUCAAAAACCAAAUUCAAUACCUACCAAACAAGUUUGUAAUUCAUUCUAAAAUAAUUUCCAAUCGCUGGUAUAUUUUUAUUCGGUCGAAAAUAUUCAGGUGCAGUUUACUUGUUUUAUCAAAUUGUAACAAAUCAAACAUUGUGAUCCUCUAUUAUUUGUAAAUCAGAAAAAAAACAUUCGAAUGGAAAAAAACACUGUCCAUUCAUUGAAAAGAUCAGAGAAGAAAAAAAAUCAUCUUCUACUCUGCAAAAAAGAUAUGUAGAAAAAAAUAUACAUCAAACCCAAUCCCAUCUCACUCUCACAAUGUGCUUUGGCACGUUCCUUUCCUAUCAAAAGCAAUACAACAGUUCCCAUCCAAAAUCCUGCUCACUAAGUCCUAAAUCCCCCUGCUCCAUUGAUCCCUUCGAACUCCACGUGAUUUCCCCCUUCCCGGUCAUCCCGAUUCCCAACACGUGGAGUUCAACCAAA